rnacentral:rRNA from 1 species
GGGUUGUGAGGUUAAGCGACUAAGCGUACACGGUGGAUGCCCUGGCAGUCAGAGGCGAUGAAGGGCGUGCUAAUCUGCGAUAAGCGCCGGUAAGGUGAUAUGAACCGUUAUAACCGGCGAUACCCGAAUGGGGAAACCCAGUGUGAUUCGUCACACUAUCAUUAACUGAAUCCAUAGGUUAAUGAGGCGAACCGGGGGAACUGAAACAUCUAAGUACCCCGAGGAAAAGAAAUCAACCGAGAUUCCCCCAGUAGCGGCGAGCGAACGGGGAGGAGCCCAGAGCCUGAAUCAGCAUGUGUGUUAGUGGAAGCGUCUGGAAAGGCGCGCGAUACAGGGUGACAGCCCCGUACACAAAAGCGCAUAUGCUGUGAGCUCGAUGAGUAGGGCGGGACACGUGGUAUCCUGUCUGAAUAUGGGGGGACCAUCCUCCAAGGCUAAAUACUCCUGACUGACCGAUAGUGAACCAGUACCGUGAGGGAAAGGCGAAAAGAACCCCGGCGAGGGGAGUGAAAAAGAACCUGAAACCGUGUACGUACAAGCAGUGGGAGCACAGGUUUACCUGUGUGACUGCGUACCUUUUGUAUAAUGGGUCAGCGACUUAUAUUCUGUAGCAAGGUUAACCGCAUAGGGGAGCCGGAGGGAAACCGAGUCUUAAUUGGGCGUUAAGUUGCAGGGUAUAGACCCGAAACCCGGUGAUCUAGCCAUGGGCAGGUUGAAGGUUGGGUAACACUAACUGGAGGACCGAACCGACUAAUGUUGAAAAAUUAGCGGAUGACCUGUGGCUGGGGGUGAAAGGCCAAUCAAACCGGGAGAUAGCUGGUUCUCCCCGAAAGCUAUUUAGGUAGCGCCUCGUGAACUCAUCUCCGGGGGUAGAGCACUGUUUCGGCUAGGGGGCCAUCCCGGCUUACCAACCCGAUGCAAACUGCGAAUACCGGAGAAUGUUAUCACGGGAGACACACGGCGGGUGCUAACGUCCGUCGUGAAGAGGGAAACAACCCAGACCGCCAGCUAAGGUCCCAAAGUCAUGGUUAAGUGGGAAACGAUGUGGGAAGGCCCAGACAGCCAGGAUGUUGGCUUAGAAGCAGCCAUCAUUUAAAGAAAGCGUAAUAGCUCACUGGUCGAGUCGGCCUGCGCGGAAGAUGUAACGGGGCUAAACCAUGCACCGAAGCUGCGGCAGCGAACGUAUCACCCAAGACAACUUUACGGAGUUGACGAUUGACGGAGCGAAGCGACGUCAAAGCGUUCAUUAAAGUCGAGUUGGCUUAGGGAUACGUUCGUUGGGUAGGGGAGCGUUCUGUAAGCCGUUGAAGGUGGCCUGUGAGGGUUGCUGGAGGUAUCAGAAGUGCGAAUGCUGACAUAAGUAACGAUAAAGCGGGUGAAAAGCCCGCUCGCCGGAAGACCAAGGGUUCCUGUCCAACGUUAAUCGGGGCAGGGUGAGUCGACCCCUAAGGCGAGGCCGAAAGGCGUAGUCGAUGGGAAACGGGUUAAUAUUCCCGUACUUGGUGUUACUGCGAAGGGGGGACGGAGAAGGCUAUGUUGGCCGGGCGACGGUUGUCCCGGUUUAAGCGUGUAGGUGUGUGUUCCAGGUAAAUCCGGUUCACUUUAACACUGAGGCGUGACGACGAGGCACUACGGUGCUGAAGCAACAAAUGCCCUGCUUCCAGGAAAAGCCUCUAAGCAUCAGGUAACAUCAAAUCGUACCCCAAACCGACACAGGUGGUCAGGUAGAGAAUACCAAGGCGCUUGAGAGAACUCGGGUGAAGGAACUAGGCAAAAUGGUGCCGUAACUUCGGGAGAAGGCACGCUGACACGUAGGUGAAGUGAUUUACUCAUGGAGCUGAAGUCAGUCGAAGAUACCAGCUGGCUGCAACUGUUUAUUAAAAACACAGCACUGUGCAAACACGAAAGUGGACGUAUACGGUGUGACGCCUGCCCGGUGCCGGAAGGUUAAUUGAUGGGGUCAGCGCAAGCGAAGCUCCUGAUCGAAGCCCCGGUAAACGGCGGCCGUAACUAUAACGGUCCUAAGGUAGCGAAAUUCCUUGUCGGGUAAGUUCCGACCUGCACGAAUGGCGUAAUGAUGGCCAGGCUGUCUCCACCCGAGACUCAGUGAAAUUGAACUCGCUGUGAAGAUGCAGUGUACCCGCGGCAAGACGGAAAGACCCCGUGAACCUUUACUAUAGCUUGACACUGAACAUUGAGCCUUGAUGUGUAGGAUAGGUGGGAGGCUUUGAAGCGUGGACGCCAGUCUGCGUGGAGCCGACCUUGAAAUACCACCCUUUAAUGUUUGAUGUUCUAACGUGGACCCGUAAUCCGGGUUGCGGACAGUGUCUGGUGGGUAGUUUGACUGGGGCGGUCUCCUCCUAAAGAGUAACGGAGGAGCACGAAGGUUGGCUAAUCCUGGUCGGACAUCAGGAGGUUAGUGCAAUGGCAUAAGCCAGCUUGACUGCGAGCGUGACGGCGCGAGCAGGUGCGAAAGCAGGUCAUAGUGAUCCGGUGGUUCUGAAUGGAAGGGCCAUCGCUCAACGGAUAAAAGGUACUCCGGGGAUAACAGGCUGAUACCGCCCAAGAGUUCAUAUCGACGGCGGUGUUUGGCACCUCGAUGUCGGCUCAUCACAUCCUGGGGCUGAAGUAGGUCCCAAGGGUAUGGCUGUUCGCCAUUUAAAGUGGUACGCGAGCUGGGUUUAGAACGUCGUGAGACAGUUCGGUCCCUAUCUGCCGUGGGCGCUGGAGAACUGAGGGGGGCUGCUCCUAGUACGAGAGGACCGGAGUGGACGCAUCACUGGUGUUCGGGUUGUCAUGCCAAUGGCACUGCCCGGUAGCUAAAUGCGGAAGAGAUAAGUGCUGAAAGCAUCUAAGCACGAAACUUGCCCCGAGAUGAGUUCUCCCUGAGACUUAGAGUCUCCUGAAGGAACGUUGAAGACGACGACGUUGAUAGGCCGGGUGUGUAAGCGCAGCGAUGCGUUGAGCUAACCGGUACUAAUGAACCGUGAGGCUUAACCUUACAACGCCGAAGCUGUU